AUGGGAUCGCAUCCUAACCACGUCGCUUACCCGUCAUUAUCCACCACAGGAAUUUGAUCCACUGACAGUUGCCUCAUGAGCUGUACCGCCUUGUCAGCUGUCAUUGACGAAGUAGCCACCUGAAGGGUGGGCAGUUUGAGGUCGGCAAUUGUCUUGUACCACCACCUUCAAUCAAUGUCUUUGGCGGCUUCGAGUGCUGCCACCACAUUGGCUCCGCUUGAUGAGCCUGAAAUAUCCAGCUGUCUACAAUGGCAAUGAAUGAAAAAAUUGGAGCCUCACCGCAAAGCAAACCCUCUUCUUUAAUAAGCCGGCGCGCCAUGGGGAGCGAUUUGGAAUCGUGCGUUUUCACCCAUA
rnacentral:lncRNA from 1 species